CCCUUAGAUGCUCUGGGCCGCACGCGCGCUACACUGGUCGAUGCAACGAGUUUCUUUCCUUGGCCGACAGGCCUGGGCAAUCUUUGAACAUCGAUCGUGAUCGGGAUAGAUUCUUGUAAUUUUUGAUCUUAAACGAGGAAUUCCUAGUAAACGCAAGUCAUCAGCUUGCAUUGAUUACGUCCCUGCCCUUUGUACACACCGCCCGUCGAACCUACCGAUUGAAUGGUCCGGUGAAAUCUCCGGACUGGCGUGAGUCGGAGCAAUCUGACAAACACCGGAAAGUUGAUUAAACCUUACCAUUUAGAGGAAGGUGAAGUCGUAACA
rnacentral:rRNA from 1 species